UAUUGCAGGAACGCCUUAAUGCU
rnacentral:misc_RNA from 1 species